rnacentral:rRNA from 1 species
UACAGAGACCUCAAGCGUUAUCCGGACUCAUUGGGCGUAAAGCGCGCGUAGGUGGCUUCGUAAGUCCGUUGUGAAAGUCAAAGGCUCAACCUUUGAAAGCCGAUGGAUACUGUGAAGCUAGAGUACGGAAGAGGCGAGUGGAAUUCCUGGUGUAGCGGUGGAAUGCGCAGAUAUCAGGAGGAACACCAAUAGCGAAGGCAGCUCGCUGGGACGUUACUGACACUGAGGCGCGAAAGCGUGGGGAGCGAACAGG